UACGUAGGGGGCUAGCGUUGUCCGGAAUCAUUGGGCGUAAAGAGCGUGUAGGCGGCCCGGUAAGUCCGCUGUGAAAGUCGGGGGCUCAACCCUCGAAUGCCGGUGGAUACUGUCGGGCUAGAGUGCGGAAGAGGCGAGCGGAAUUCCUGGUGUAGCGGUGAAAUGCGCAGAUAUCAGGAGGAACACCGAUUGCGAAGGCAGCUCGCUGGGACGUCACUGACGCUGAGACGCGAAAGCGUGGGGAGCAAACAGG
rnacentral:rRNA from 1 species